AACGAACGCUGGCGGCAUGCCUAACACAUGCAAGUCGAACGAGACCUUCGGGUCUAGUGGCGCACGGGUGCGUAACGCGUGGGAACCUGCCCUUAGGUUCGGAAUAACUCCCCGAAAGGGGUGCUAAUACCGGAUAAUGUCUUCGGACCAAAGAUUUAUCGCCUUUGGAUGGGCCCGCGUUGGAUUAGCUCGUUGGUAGGGUACAAGCCUACCAAGGCGAGGAUCCAUAGCUGGUCUGAGAGGAUGAUCAGCCACACUGGGACUGAGACACGGCCCAGACUCCUACGGGAGGCAGCAGUGGGGAAUAUUGGACAAUGGGCGAAAGCCUGAUCCAGCAAUGCCGCGUGAGUGAUGAAGGCCUUAGGGUUGUAAAGCUCUUUUACCCGGGAUGAUAAUGACAGUACCGGGAGAAUAAGCUCCGGCUAACUCCGUG
rnacentral:rRNA from 1 species